UCCUAGUGUGUGAAAUUUCUCAAGGGCCUCAAGGACCCCGUGCAAUGCUCACACCAGGACCGCACUUAAAGAAACAGUUCAUAAAAGAUUGGAAGACCAGCCCCAAUGUGACAGAGUUCAGUGGAGUCUCAUGGGCCCUAGGCAUGCUCAUACCGGGGGUGGUAGGAACCUAGACAGCUAAGAGUAGAUGUUUGAAAACCAAUACAUAAGGGGAAAGGGGAUAGUUUUAGAAAACAAUGCAUACAGAAUAGUAACAGAACUGCACCAAAGAACAAACAAAACUCAUGCUCAGCAUAUAAUUCAAACAAGUUGAUAUUUGUUCAGACUAGAUACUCAUACCAGCAUUUAAGAUAAUCACAAAAAGCAAGGACACUUGAACUAACAGAUAGAGUUAGCCACACAUUAAAUGCUUGCAAUAUCUAGCAAUAGUCAGAAUUGGGAACAUACAACUGAAUUGGACAGGGUUUCACAUUAUUGGAAAUAACUUAGUUUAGUAUUAUCACUAAGUGGAAUCAUAUAGUCAUAUGGCAAACAGAAUCAUGAUGAGGUUUUGAAAUAAACUAACCAAAUAAGCACAUAGAACAGAAUAAGAUAACAUGAGUUAAAGCAUACCAGUUGAGAAAGAAGUGGCAAUUUGAAUCCAGAGAAUCUAGCCUUGCCUUUCAGCCGGCCAAACAGUGUAGCAAAUUAAAAUAAUAGAAAGAGAGAACUUCAAUUUUUUUGAGAGAACAGAAAGCCUGAGAGUUUUUAAGUUGUAAAAGUUGUUCAGUGAGGAAGUUGUAAAAUGUGUAAGUAUUUCAGUGUCUGAGUGUCUAAAAUCAGGACAAGGGAAGGGCUUUUAUAGCAUACAAUAGAGUAAAACAAAUAAGGUAUGAAAAUUAAUUACACACAAAUGAGGUAUGAAAAUCAAUUAAUUAACCAAUUAAGGUCAGCAUGAAUCAAUUAAGAGGACUGAAUCAAAUAAGUACUACUUAAUUUAAGGAAAAUCUCACAUGAAAUCAAUCAGUAUCUAAGAAUGAGGUUAAAUAAAGUAAGAACUGAUUCCACAAUCAAUUAGGAGUCAGAACACAAAAUCAGCCAGUAAUACGACUACAUAAAUAAGGUAAGAACAAGUAAAAACUUAAUAAGGAAAUACAGGUACUAAAUUCAAACCCUAAUUUAGGUAAGUAAAUCAAUUAACACUGACAGAAUUGAAGGUAAACAGGAAAAAUAGUAUAAUAAAUAGUCAAAUAAUUGAAACCCUAAGACAUAUCAAAGACAUAGAGGUGAUACUCAAGUAAAAAUCAGUCCAAAAAGUAAAAAAGAAAACUAGAGUUCAAAAACAUUUAAACGUUUAAACAUUUUUUGUAGAAAACCCAUUAGAAAUCAAAUCCCUAACUUUUUAGGGUAAAAUAAAAUCGGUUAACAAUAAUAGUAAAACAGAAAAUCUUAAGGGAAAAAUACCAAACAAACUCAAAACUGCUUCAGAUCUAAAGAGAUAUAAACGGAUUCAACCAGAAAUAGCUAGAUUCAUGGAAAUAAGCAGAAGUGAAUCAAAUCUAGUUUGAACCCGAGAUUUGAAACCAUAAAAAUAUGAAAAUAUUAGUACUCACAGAUAUUGGAGUGAACAUGGGCGGAUUAAUCGAGAAAUGAGAGACUUUGAACCAAAUCUGGUUCGAAUCUCUUGAGAUUAUCCUCAAGUAACAUGAAAAUCAUACAACCAGUAGAGAGAUGAGGCCGGAUAGGGUAUGAAAUCGAAGGAAAACCCUAUGAAUCAAAGGGGAUAUCAGUGACAGUGGGCUAGGGUUAAAAGCGGGGUGAGAGAGAAGAGAGGAAAGAAGGGGAUUGAAGG
rnacentral:lncRNA from 1 species